CCCCUCUCAGGGUAGCACCUGGAGGGUUUCAAGUACUCUACCAGUCUUGACUAUAGGAGGGAGAAUCAAGCGGAGACAUUUCCAUUCCUAGCUUGGCCACUGGCUAGUGAGUGGAAGACAAUCCGCUACAAGU